GGGUUGUGAGGUUAAGCGACUAAGCGUACACGGUGGAUGCCCUGGCAGUCAGAGGCGAUGAAGGACGUGCUAAUCUGCGAUAAGCGUCGGUAAGGUGAUAUGAACCGUUAUAACCGGCGAUUUCCGAAUGGGGAAACCCAGUGUGUUUCGACACACUAUCAUUAACUGAAUCCAUAGGUUAAUGAGGCGAACCGGGGGAACUGAAACAUCUAAGUACCCCGAGGAAAAGAAAUCAACCGAGAUUCCCCCAGUAGCGGCGAGCGAACGGGGAGCAGCCCAGAGCCUGAAUCAGUGUGUGUGUUAGUGGAAGCGUCUGGAAAGGCGCGCGAUACAGGGUGACAGCCCCGUACACAAAAAUGCACAUGCUGUGAGCUCGAUGAGUAGGGCGGGACACGUGGUAUCCUGUCUGAAUAUGGGGGGACCAUCCUCCAAGGCUAAAUACUCCUGACUGACCGAUAGUGAACCAGUACCGUGAGGGAAAGGCGAAAAGAACCCCGGCGAGGGGAGUGAAAAAGAACCUGAAACCGUGUACGUACAAGCAGUGGGAGCACGCUUAGGCGUGUGACUGCGUACCUUUUGUAUAAUGGGUCAGCGACUUAUAUUCUGUAGCAAGGUUAACCGAAUAGGGGAGCCGAAGGGAAACCGAGUCUUAACUGGGCGUUAAGUUGCAGGGUAUAGACCCGAAACCCGGUGAUCUAGCCAUGGGCAGGUUGAAGGUUGGGUAACACUAACUGGAGGACCGAACCGACUAAUGUUGAAAAAUUAGCGGAUGACUUGUGGCUGGGGGUGAAAGGCCAAUCAAACCGGGAGAUAGCUGGUUCUCCCCGAAAGCUAUUUAGGUAGCGCCUCGUGAAUUCAUCUCCGGGGGUAGAGCACUGUUUCGGCAAGGGGGUCAUCCCGACUUACCAACCCGAUGCAAACUGCGAAUACCGGAGAAUGUUAUCACGGGAGACACACGGCGGGUGCUAACGUCCGUCGUGAAGAGGGAAACAACCCAGACCGCCAGCUAAGGUCCCAAAGUCAUGGUUAAGUGGGAAACGAUGUGGGAAGGCCCAGACAGCCAGGAUGUUGGCUUAGAAGCAGCCAUCAUUUAAAGAAAGCGUAAUAGCUCACUGGUCGAGUCGGCCUGCGCGGAAGAUGUAACGGGGCUAAACCAUGCACCGAAGCUGCGGCAGCGACGCUGAUGCGUUGUUGGGUAGGGGAGCGUUCUGUAAGCCUGCGAAGGUGUGCUGUGAGGCAUGCUGGAGGUAUCAGAAGUGCGAAUGCUGACAUAAGUAACGAUAAAGCGGGUGAAAAGCCCGCUCGCCGGAAGACCAAGGGUUCCUGUCCAACGUUAAUCGGGGCAGGGUGAGUCGACCCCUAAGGCGAGGCCGAAAGGCGUAGUCGAUGGGAAACAGGUUAAUAUUCCUGUACUUGGUGUUACUGCGAAGGGGGGACGGAGAAGGCUAUGUUGGCCGGGCGACGGUUGUCCCGGUUUAAGCGUGUAGGCUGGUUUUCCAGGCAAAUCCGGAAAAUCAAGGCUGAGGCGUGAUGACGAGGCACUACGGUGCUGAAGCAACAAAUGCCCUGCUUCCAGGAAAAGCCUCUAAGCAUCAGGUAACAUCAAAUCGUACCCCAAACCGACACAGGUGGUCAGGUAGAGAAUACCAAGGCGCUUGAGAGAACUCGGGUGAAGGAACUAGGCAAAAUGGUGCCGUAACUUCGGGAGAAGGCACGCUGAUAUGUAGGUGAAGUCCCUCGCGGAUGGAGCUGAAAUCAGUCGAAGAUACCAGCUGGCUGCAACUGUUUAUUAAAAACACAGCACUGUGCAAACACGAAAGUGGACGUAUACGGUGUGACGCCUGCCCGGUGCCGGAAGGUUAAUUGAUGGGGUUAGCGCAAGCGAAGCUCUUGAUCGAAGCCCCGGUAAACGGCGGCCGUAACUAUAACGGUCCUAAGGUAGCGAAAUUCCUUGUCGGGUAAGUUCCGACCUGCACGAAUGGCGUAAUGAUGGCCAGGCUGUCUCCACCCGAGACUCAGUGAAAUUGAACUCGCUGUGAAGAUGCAGUGUACCCGCGGCAAGACGGAAAGACCCCGUGAACCUUUACUAUAGCUUGACACUGAACAUUGAGCCUUGAUGUGUAGGAUAGGUGGGAGGCUUAGAAGUGUGGACGCCAGUCUGCAUGGAGCCGACCUUGAAAUACCACCCUUUAAUGUUUGAUGUUCUAACGUUGACCCGUAAUCCGGGUUGCGGACAGUGUCUGGUGGGUAGUUUGACUGGGGCGGUCUCCUCCUAAAGAGUAACGGAGGAGCACGAAGGUUGGCUAAUCCUGGUCGGACAUCAGGAGGUUAGUGCAAUGGCAUAAGCCAGCUUGACUGCGAGCGUGACGGCGCGAGCAGGUGCGAAAGCAGGUCAUAGUGAUCCGGUGGUUCUGAAUGGAAGGGCCAUCGCUCAACGGAUAAAAGGUACUCCGGGGAUAACAGGCUGAUACCGCCCAAGAGUUCAUAUCGACGGCGGUGUUUGGCACCUCGAUGUCGGCUCAUCACAUCCUGGGGCUGAAGUAGGUCCCAAGGGUAUGGCUGUUCGCCAUUUAAAGUGGUACGCGAGCUGGGUUUAGAACGUCGUGAGACAGUUCGGUCCCUAUCUGCCGUGGGCGCUGGAGAACUGAGGGGGGCUGCUCCUAGUACGAGAGGACCGGAGUGGACGCAUCACUGGUGUUCGGGUUGUCAUGCCAAUGGCACUGCCCGGUAGCUAAAUGCGGAAGAGAUAAGUGCUGAAAGCAUCUAAGCACGAAACUUGCCCCGAGAUGAGUUCUCCCUGACCCUUUAAGGGUCCUGAAGGAACGUUGAAGACGACGACGUUGAUAGGCCGGGUGUGUAAGCGCAGCGAUGCGUUGAGCUAACCGGUACUAAUGAACCGUGAGGCUUAACCUUACAACGCCGAAGGUGUUU
rnacentral:rRNA from 1 species